rnacentral:tRNA from 1 species
GGGCGAUUAGCUCAGUUGGUAGAGCGCCUCCCUUACAAGGAGGAUGCCGGGGGUUCGAGUCCCUCAUCGCCCA